rnacentral:lncRNA from 1 species
UAGCCUCCUGGUCAGCCUCAACUCCCCUUUAUCCCCUACGUGUCCUGAGAGCUCAGAUGGACGGCAUUUGCCCACUUCAGUAUUUCCCAGCACAGUCAAUAAAGGAGCACAUGAGAUGCUUCCCAACCUGUGUGAAUACCCUUCCUGACACAGCAGAGAACAGUCCUUCAUAAAUCCUGUGUCUUUGGAGGGACGUUUUCUGGCACACUGCGGCAGCUGUGGCUUGCAAUGUCUAAGUUACCAGGAUGUCGGUGGGGAGGGCCCUGACCAGGGCGGAGUAGGGGGACCUGCAGCGUCUGGGAGCAUGAAGCCUUGCUGCUGGAGUCUCCAGGCUCGCCAGGCAGGGCUGGGGGUGGCGCUGGGAGGAGCCCAGACAGAUAGGCCCUGAGCUUUGAAGAAAAAUCAAUAUUCAGCAGGGAGUUGAUUGUGUCAUAAACGUCUCGAGUUGCACUGCCACUUCCUGGCCCCUGAGUGGCCCAAGGUGAGCUCUGCUGAGGAGAGAGCUGCCCUGCCUACCCCUCCCCUGCACUGCCUGUCUGAGGUCACAGAAGGAGCAGGAGAAAGGCAGCAGGCAUCUUAGGUGGUAAAGCCACUCAGUGAGCCACAGCAGCGAGGCGAGGAUGGUGGCUCCCUCUUUCUUUCGGAGGUGCAUACAUUCAACAAAUAACUACUCAAUGCCCACCAUGCCCAGUCCUGGGGCCAGGCUCUGGUGAUGCGGCCAGGAGCCCGGCAGACAGUGUGCUGCCUGCAUGGAGUCUACAGUCCUGUGUGGAGAUCAAUGUUGAACGGGGAAAUGAAACAGAAAACUGGCCAAGUAGAGGCUGAUAAGCGUCAUCCAGCAAAGCAAUGAACAGGCAGGUGGAGGCUCGGGAGGGCUGGGCAGGGCUGCUGCAGAUGGGCAGGGCUCUGGGCACUCGGCUGGGCAGGAGCCUGGGCAGUGGGGGGACUGGCUCCCAACACAGCCACUCCCCAACCACUCUUGGCUUCUCUGCUUCCUUCCUUCUCUCCCUGCCUCCUUCCCACACCUAUGCCCAGGUGCUCCUGUAGCUCUGGCUUGCGUAGGGACACUGCCAAGUGGCCCAUCCCCUUCAUUUCGUAGUCCAGAUGCUCUGACAGUGACCCCAGGUGACCGCCCAUGCAUCGCCUGUCCUGGUGGGGGCCAUCCUGUGCCAUCAUUGGGGGGGGGGUGCAGUGUGCAUGACACGGCACAGCAUGGCUCAUAGCUGCCCAGCACCAGGGGCUGAGGGGGUGAUGGGCAUAGCAGUGAGCAUUCCAUCUGGGAUUGAGUCCUGCUUGCCUCUGUCAGGGGAUGUCCUUAGGCAAGUCCCUUAACAUGCAUGUGCCUCAGUUUUGUCACCUGUAGCCCAGUGCCUCAUGGUGCCAAGGAGGUCACAAGCAUGAAGCCCCUGGCAGGGUGUGCCGGGCACGUGUGCACAUGCCCCCUGGAGGGGAUUCAUCAUCGCGGGCGGAGCUCUGCAGUUCCAGCCUCCUGAGGGUCCUGAUGCCUCACGAGGCCAAGAGGCAAAGGGUUUUGUAACUUACAUAACCGCAGAGAAAGGCAAGGUUGCUGCUCACAAUGAUGCUUUCACAGGGCGGCUCUGGGACGGCAUCCUCACCCGACUAUAUGGAAUUCCACAUCCUUUCCGAAUCUUGGUGUUACACAAUAGUCACUGAGAUAUCAUGUACCCCAUUAACGUUGAGACUUUUAUGUAUUUACAAUUCAGCUUAAAUUUUUACCCAGAGAAGUUUUCAAAAUGUAACAUGUGUUAGUCACUGUGUGAAUUGCGAAACCAAGGAAAUAUCUCCAAAGUGCUGGCCUUGACAAUGUAAUCUGGCAAGGCUUGGGGAGGAAUAAAAAUAACACUUCUCAGCAUCGCCGUCUCUGAGGGCAGGAGUGAUCUGGAGCCCUCCCCAAGCCCACAGGUCCCUGAAUGCAGUUAACUCAGCGAGUCCUGAGUUCCCCAGGAGGUGGGCAUUCCCAUCUUACCCACGUUGCAGAUGAAGACACUGAGGUAUUGGGAGAACCUGCCCAGGUGAUACAGGUAGUAUGUGGCGGUUGGGGGAUGUGAACUUGAGCUCCUGACCAACUCUGCUGCAUGGGCUGACAACUCCGGCUUCUCCGGGAGAGGGGCAGGGGCUGAGGUGGGGCUUUUUUGUUUUUGUUUUUGGCCUUUCUGAGUCCUCUGUGCUUUCUUCCCAGGUGCAUAGAUGACUUACUUUCAGAAAAUGUCAACAGGGUGCUCUGCAGAGGGGCAUGGGCUUUUAUGCCUUUAUUAUGCUUUUCUGUAUUAAAAGAAAAAUACAGUCAUGUGAUUUUAGAAACUCAACCCAUGGAAGAGAGAAUACUGGGUCUGUAGGAAAUCUGCAAAGUGGGAAAGAUACUUCUGGGCUUGGUGGUGGCACCUUGGAGCCUGCUUACGGAAAUCACCUCUCGUUCCCGUGAUGCUGAAAGCAGAAUGCUGGACAUGGAAGAACCGCGGUACUCGAGCUUCGUCUGCUGCCCCACACCCCACUGGCUGUUGCAAGAGUGACGUUGCCAUUGGUGACUGCAGGUCUCCCAGCAGCCUGGUGCAGAGAGGCCACUUCAGGCUCGAACAGAGGCCCGGGUUUCCACGGGAGACAGCAGAGCCACGGUGUAGCAGGCAUCCAGCUCUCCCCCGAUCAGUUCCGUGACUUGUCGGAAGGCCCUCCCUCCCGGUCAGACGAAGAAAGGACUGGUGGCCUCUGGGGAUCCUGAGCCUGUCUCCAUGGGAACCAGCUCACCCACCCCCUCUCUGGCAAGUGUCCUAGUGGGAGCCAUGGGAAACCAUGGGCUCCAGCCCCUGGCCGCUGACUGGUUGGCGGCCUUCCGUUUUGAGAUCCCUGGCCCAGGGUAAUGGAGGGGACCUCAUCUUACAGAAGACACAGCGAGGGUGUGGAGAGGCUGUGGGGGAAGCACAGCCUGGCCGGCAGCUGCUGGGUGUCCUGGCUUGAGCUCAGGGCACCUUUGUCCCAGGGUGGGACCCUCAGGUCUCAGGGGCUGCUCCAUCCCCGUUGAGGGCUCCCUUCAUUCUUGAUGUCUGUCCACUCACAGAGGGGGCGUCAUGCCUCUCCAAAGACCCCCACAUUCCAGUCCUUGUGUCCCUGAGGUCGGCCUCCUGGCGGCCACCUCACAGGGAAGGCCCUGGACACAGGGCCCUGGCCUAAUGCAGCAUGGCUUCAUCUUAACUAGUUACGUGUGCAAAGACCCUGUCUCCAAACAAGGUCAUAUUUUGGGCUUCUGAGUGGAAGUUGGUUUGGGGGACACUCAUCAACCCAGCACAAUGCUCCCCCUCACCAUGUUCGUUGAAGAGAAGACUCUUGGACACCUGGAGGCCACCAGUCCUUUCUGGAUCCCCAGAGGCCACCAGUACUUUCUUCCUCUGACCUGAAACAAGAGCUAGCAGGGGCUGGCAGGCCGACUGCGUCUGCUGCCAUUUUGAGUACUGGCCCCAGCCGCAAUGCCCAGGACUGAGUCAUGGAGAUUCCCUCAGAAAUGGUGCAACCCAGUCUGUCCACAGAGUGAGGGGCGACAAGCCUGGUGGCCCCGGCUUCAGUGCAGGCCAUCCUUUCCACCUAUUGUCUCCUUUUGGUCUCAUGGGGACCCGGUUCUUGUCCUCUGCCCUGUAGCAUGGCUACGACCCUCAUGGGCCACAAACUUGAUGCCCUCAGGCGGCUAGACUCUACCCCAGAUCCGGGGCUGGCAGCGGCAUGGAUGUGGUCAACUGGCAUGCAGUUGUUACCCAGACACCCUCCCAUCAGCACUUUUUUAGGGGGUGAGUGACAGAAACUCAACUUGGGCUUAAAGGUGAAUUUACUGGUUCCUGUGAUGACAGAGUUCAAGGUUCAGCUGGACCUGGUGCCUCCAAUGACGUCACCAAGUCUGUCUGUCCAUCUGUCUGAGUUCAGCUUCCUCCAGGUCUUCGUUCUCCAGCAGGCCUUCUCCUCAAAGUGGCCAGGUGACUGUCAGCUCUAUGGUUCAUUCUACCAGUUUAUGAAUCUCCCCUCCUCAUGUUGCUCAAAUUCAGCUGUGAGUAAACUCCCAAGCUGAUUGCAGCGUCCAAAGGGAGGGCACUGGUCCCAUGUGCAGCCGGCAACUCUAUGGGUUCAGCUCCACCCAAACUAUAUAGACCACAGCAGGGAAGGAAAGCCAGGGAUGCUAGGAUGGCCAGCACCACUGCAGAAGCCUAUUGAUCCCGUGCAAAAUAGCUCCAGUAAAAGGAGGGCUUUGGGGCCCGGUGUGUUGGCACACACCUGUAAUCCCAGCACUUUGGGAGGCCAAGGCAUGUGGAUCACUUGAGGUCAAAAG